rnacentral:rRNA from 1 species
UACAGAGGGGGCAAGCGUUGUUCGGAAUUACUGGGCGUAAAGGGCGCGUAGGCGGCCCGCUAAGUCGAACGUGAAAUCCCCGGGCUCAACCCGGGAACUGCGUCCGAUACUGGCAGGCUUGAAUCCGGGAGAGGGAUGCGGAAUUCCAGGUGUAGCGGUGAAAUGCGCAGAUAUCAGGAGGAACACCGGUGGCGAAGGCGGAUCUCUGGGCCGAUACUGACGCUGAGGAGCGAAAGCGUGGGGAGCGAACAGG